AGAACGAACGCUGGCGGCAUGCCUAACACAUGCAAGUCGAACGAGACCUUCGGGUCUAGUGGCGCACGGGUGCGUAACGCGUUGGGAAUCUGCCCUUGGGUUCGGGAUAACAGUUGGAAACGACUGCUAAUACCGGAUGAUGUCUUCGGACCAAAGAUUUAUCGCCCAGGGAUGAGCCCGCGUAGGAUUAGCUUGUUGGUGAGGUAAGAGCUCACCAAGGCGACGAUCCUUAGCUGGUCUGAGAGGAUGAUCAGCCACAUGGGACUGACGACACGGCCCAGGACUCCGUACGGGAGGCAGCAGGUGGGGAAUAGUUCGGACUAAGGUGGGACGAAAGCCUGACU
rnacentral:rRNA from 1 species